GCCUGUUUUUUUUUUUGAGACAUUGUGAAUUUUUUACAUAUUAGUUAUUUGUUAGAUUGUUUUUGAUGUACUUUGACGGGAUCAAUUUCUUAUUUAUAUUUCUGUAUGAGUCGCGCAUGUUGUUGCUUCAUUUAUGACAUGCUAGUUGUGUGGGUGUUCUGUUUACGUGGGAUGUUGGUUAAUGAGUAUAGCUAAUAAUACUCUCAUUUGUUUACGUAGAUCUGUUACUUCUUAGUUUUCCCUAGUAAAUUUUCUUUAAAUUUCCUUAUUGUGGUUUGUUUCCGUUUCAUUGGAACAAUUGAAAACUUUCAACACUUGUCCAUUAAGUCUUGGAUAGCUUGCUUUAAUGCUCACUUGCCUUAUGUCUCUUUCAUCUCAUAUUUUCUUGUCUCCGUUUGUAGCCUGCUAUGUUGUUUGAAUAUGUUAAAACUUGAUUCAAAACAAGUGACGUCUCUCAUGGUUAGCUUUAUUUUUUUUCUCUACACCACUGUUUGGUUUAUUUUGUUGUUCUUUCUUGGCUGGUUACCAUGCUGCUCGAAUCUUGGCUUAUUUAGUAGCCUAGCGCUUGAGUUAGAAUCGGUUUUCCCGCUCGUCUAAUGUAUAAAUGAGCGUGUUCUGAAUGUUG
rnacentral:misc_RNA from 1 species